rnacentral:rRNA from 1 species
GACGAACGCUGGCGGCGUGCCUAAUACAUGCAAGUCGAACGAGAGCGACCGGUGCUUGCACUGGUCAAUCUAGUGGCGAACGGGUGAGUAACACGUGGGUAACCUGCCCAUCAGAGGGGGAUAACAUUCGGAAACGGAUGCUAAAACCGCAUAGGUUCUUGAGUCGCAUGACUCAGGAAGGAAAAGAGGCUUCGGCUUCUGCUGAUGGAUGGACCCGCGGUGCAUUAGCUAGUUGGUGAGGUAACGGCUCACCAAGGCCGUGAUGCAUAGCCGACCUGAGAGGGUGAUCGGCCACAUUGGGACUGAGACACGGCCCAAACUCCUACGGGAGGCAGCAGUAGGGAAUCUUCCGCAAUGGACGCAAGUCUGACGGAGCAACGCCGCGUGAGUGAAGAAGGAUCUCGGUUCGUAAAACUCUGUUGUUAGAGAAGAACAGCGCAUAGAGUAACUGUUAUGCGUGUGACG